rnacentral:rRNA from 1 species
GCUACGGGAGGCAGCAGUGAGGAAUAGUGGUCAAUGGGCGCGAGCCUGAACCAGCCAAGUCGCGUGAGGGAAGACGGUCCUAUGGAUUGUAAACCUCUUUUGUCGGGGAGCAAAAGACGCCACGCGUGGCGUUCCGAGAGUACCCGAAGAAAAAGCAUCGGCUAACUCCGUGCCAGCAGCCGCGGUAAUACGGAGGAGGCGAGCGUUAUCCGGAUUUAUUGGGGUGACAGGGUGCGCAGGCGGAAGAGCAAGUCAGCGGUAAAAUUGAGCGGCUCAACCUCUUCGAGCCGUUGAAACUGGUUUUCUUGCGUGAGUGAGCAUUCUGCGGACUGCGUGGUGUUGCGGUGCAAUGCAUCGAUCUCCCGCAGCACUCUGAUUGCGAUGGCCGCCUACCGGCGCUCACCUUACGCUCAUGCACGACAGUGUGGGUAUCGAACAGGAUUAGAUACCCGAGUAGUC